UACGUAGGCAGCAAGCGUUGUUCGGAAUUACUGGGCGUAAAGAGUGUGUAGGCGGUGCUCUAAGUCUGUUGUGAAAUCUCCCGGCUUAACUGGGAGGGUGCGGCGGAGACUGGAGUGCUAGAGUGUGGGAGAGGUAAGCGGAAUUCCUGGUGUAGCGGUGAAAUGCGUAGAUAUCAGGAGGAACACCUGUGGUGUAGACAGCUUACUGGACCACGAUCUGACGCUGAGACACGAAAGCGUGGGUAGCAAACAGG
rnacentral:rRNA from 1 species